rnacentral:rRNA from 1 species
CCUACGGGAGGCAGCAGUGAGGAAUAUUGGUCAAUGGGCGCGAGCCUGAACCAGCCAAGUCGCGUGAGGGAAGACGGUCCUAUGGAUUGUAAACCUCUUUUGUCGGGGAGCAAAAGACGCCACGCGUGGCGUUCCGAAAGUACCCAAAGAAAAAGCAUCGGCUAACUCCGUGCCAGCCGCCGCGGUAAUACGGAGGAUGCGAGCGUUAUCCGGAUUUAUUGGGUUUAAAGGGUGCGCAGGCGGAAGAUCAAGUCAGCGGUAAAAUUGAGAGGCUCAACCUCUUCGAGCCGUUGAAACUGGUUUUCUUGAGUGAGCGAGAAGUAUGCGGAAUGCGUGGUGUAGCGGUGAAAUGCAUAGAUAUCACGCAGAACUCCGAUUGCGAAGGCAGCAUACCGGCGCUCAACUGACGCUCAUGCACGAAAGUGUGGGUAUCGAACAGGAUUAGAUACCCCAGUAGUC